GGGACGACACGGUGGCCGGGCCGCGGCCGGACCACGGCCUCGGCAGGCUCCGCAAGUACGCCUCCUUCUCCCCGUCCUCCGCGGCGGCCGGCACGACCGCCGCGCCGUCGGCCGACCUUGCGGCGCCGGCCGUGACGCGGAGCAUCACCAUCCUCCGCCCGCCGGCCCUGUCCGUGACGUCCCCGCGCAGCGAGUCCGGCUCCGGCUCCGCGCCCUCGUCCCCGGCCAGCGUCCCCGACUCCCCC
rnacentral:lncRNA from 1 species